rnacentral:rRNA from 1 species
GAGUUUGAUCCUGGCUCAGGAUGAACGCUAGCUACAGGCUUAACACAUGCAAGUCGAGGGGCAGCAUGACGAUAGCUUGCUAUUGUUGAUGGCGACCGGCGCACGGGUGAGUAAGCGCGUAUCCAACCUUCCCAUAGCUAGGGAAUAACCUUGCGAAAGUAAGACUAAUGCCCUAUAACAUUCUUUGCAGACAUCUAAAGAGAAUUAAAGAUUUAUCGGCUAUGGAUGGGGAUGCGUCUGAUUAGGUUGUUGGCGGGGUAACGGCCCACCAAGCCCACGAUCAGUAGGGGUUCUGAGAGGAAGGUCCCCCACAUUGGAGGUGAGACACGGUCCAAACUCCUACGGGAGGCAGCAGUGAGGAAUAUUGGUCAAUGGACGAAAGUCUGAACCAGCCAAGUAGCGUGCAGGACGACGGCCCUAUGGGUUGUAAACUGCUUUUAUAUGGGAAUAAAGUGAGCGACGUGUCGUUUUUUGUAGGUACCAUAUGAAUAAGGACCGGCUAAUUCCGUGCCAGCAGCCGCGGUAAUACGGAAGGUCCAGGCGUUAUCCGGAUUUAUUGGGUUUAAAGGGAGCGUACGCCGUUUUUUAAGCGUGUUGUGAAAUACUGUCGCUCAACGACAGAGGUGCAGCGCGAACUGGAGGACUUGAGUGCGCGGAAUGUAGGCGGAAUUCGUCGUGUAGCGGUGAAAUGCUUAGAUAUGACGAAGAACUCCGAUUGCGAAGUCAGCUUACAGUAGCGUAACUGACGCUGAAGCUCGAAAGUGCGGGUAUCGAACAGGAUUAGAUACCCUGGUAGUCCGCACGGUAAACGAUGGAUGCUCGCUGUGUGCUUUUGGGUACGCGGCCAAGCGAAAGCGCUAAGCAUCCCACCUGGGGAGUACGCCGGCAACGGUGAAACUCAAAGGAAUUGACGGGGGCCCGCACAAGCGGAGGAACAUGUGGUUUAAUUCGAUGAUACGCGAGGAACCUUACCCGGGCUUGAAUUGCAGAGGAAGGAUUUAGAGAUAAUGACGCCCUUCGGGGCCUCUGUGAAGGUGCUGCAUGGUUGUCGUCAGCUCGUGCCGUGAGGUGUCGGCUUAAGUGCCAUAACGAGCGCAACCCCUCUCCGUAGUUGCCAUCAGGUAGUGCUGGGCACUCUGCGGACACUGCCGCCGUAAGGUGUGAGGAAGGUGGGGAUGACGUCAAAUCAGCACGGCCCUUACGUCCGGGGCUACACACGUGUUACAAUGGGUCAUACAGAGUGUUGUGCGUAUGCAAAUACGUUCUAAUCAUUAAAAUGAUCCUCAGUUCGGAUUGGGGUCUGCAACCCGACCCCAUGAAGCUGGAUUCGCUAGUAAUCGCGCAUCAGCCAUGGCGCGGUGAAUACGUUCCCGGGCCUUGUACACACCGCCCGUC